rnacentral:rRNA from 1 species
UACGUAGGGGGCGAGCGUCGUCCGAAGUUACUGGGCGUAAAGCGCGCGUAGGCGGUUGUUUAAGUUAGAUGUGAAAUCCCGCGGCCUAACUGCGGAACUGCAUCUGAAACUGGGCGACUUGAGGACGGAAGAGGGCAGUGGAAUUCCUGGUGUAGCGGUGAAAUGCGUAGAUAUCAGGAGGAACACCGGUGGCGAAGGCGGCUGCCUGGUCCGUAUCUGACGCUGAGGUGCGAAAGCUAGGGGAGCGAACGGG